rnacentral:rRNA from 1 species
CCUGGUUGAUCCUGCCAGUAGUCAUAUGCUUGUCUCAAAGAUUAAGCCAUGCAAGUCUAAGUAUAAACAACUUUAUACUGUGAAACUGCGAAUGGCUCAUUAAAUCAGUUAGAGUUUAUUUGAUAUUGCUUUACUACUUGGAUAACCGUGGUAAUUCUAGAGCUAAUACAUGCUAAAACACCCGACUUUUGGAAGGGUGGUAUAUAUUAGAUCCAAAGCCAUCCAGUUGCCUCUGGUAGCUGUCUAUGGAUGAUUCAUAAUAUCUUGACGAAUCGCAUGACCUUGCGUCGGCGAUGGUUCAUUCAAAUUUCUGCACUAUUAACUUUGGAUGGUAGGGUAUUGGCCUACCAUGGUUAUAAUGGUUACGGAGGAUUAGGGUUUGAUUCCGGAGAGGGAGCCUGAGAAACGGCUACCACAUCCAAGGAAGGCAGCAGGCGCGCAAAUUACCCAAUCUCGACACGAGGAGGUAGUGACAAUAAAUAACAAUGCAGGGCUCUUGUAGUCUUGCAAUUGGAAUGAGUACAACUUAAAACCCUUAACGAGGAUCAAUUGGAGGGCAAGUCUGGUGCCAGCAGCCGCGGUAAUUCCAGCUCCAAUAGCGUAUAUUAAUGUUGCUGCAGUUAAAAAGCUCGUAGUUGGAUUUCGGGAUGGAACGAAUGGUCUGCCUUCGGGUGUGUACCGUUUGGUCUGUUCUUUUAUCUGGGGAAUUUUUCUGCUCUUUAUUGAGUGGUUAAGGGACUCAGGUCGUUUACUUUGAAAAAAUUAGAGUGUUCAAAGCAGGCUUACGCUUGAAUACAUUAGCAUGGAAUAAUAAAAUAAGACUUUGGUUUUAUUUUGUUGGUUUCUAGGACUGAAGUAAUGAUUAAUAGGGACGGUUGGGGGCAUUGAUAUUUAAUUGUCAGAGGUGAAAUUCUUGGAUUUAUGAAAGAUUAACUUCUGCGAAAGCAUUUGCCAAGGACGCUCCCAUUAAUCAAGAACGAAAGUCAGGGGAUCGAAGACGAUCAGAUACCGUCGUAGUCUUGACCAUAAACUAUGCCGGCUAGGGAUUGGUGGAUGUUAUUUUCAUGACUCCGUCAGCACCUUAUGAGAAAUCAAAGCAUUUGGGUUCUGGGGGGAGUAUGGUCGCAAGGCUGAAACUUAAAGGAAUUGACGGAAGGGCACCACCAGGAGUGGAGCCUGCGGCUUAAUUUGACCCAACACGGGAAAACUUACC